UGGGGAAUUUUGGACAAUGGGCGAAAGCCUGAUCCAGCAAUGCCGCGUGUGUGAAGAAGGCCUUCGGGUUGUAAAGCACUUUUGUCCGGAAAGAAAUCCUUGGCUCUAAUACAGUCGGGGGAUGACGGUACCGGAAGAAUAAGCACCGGCUAACUACGUGCCAGCAGCCGCGGUAAUACGUAAGGUGCAAGCGUUAAUCGGAAUUACUGGGCGUAAAGCGUGCGCAGGCGGUUUGCUAAGACCGAUGUGAAAUCCCCGGGCUCAACCUGGGAACUGCAUUGGUGACUGGCAGGCUAGAGUAUGGCAGAGGGGGGUAGAAUUCCACGUGUAGCAGUGAAAUGCGUAGAGAUGUGGAGGAAUACCGAUGGCGAAGGCAGCCCCCUGGGCCAAUACUGACGCUCAUGCACGAAAGCGUGGGGAGCAAAACAGGAUUAGAUACCCUGGUAGUCCACGCCCUAAAACGAUGUCAACUAGUUGUUGGGGAUUCAUUUCCUUAGUAACGUAGCUAACGCGUGAAGUUGACCGCCUGGGGAGUACGGUCGCAAGAUUAAAACUCAAAUGAAUUGACGGGGUCAUAGCUGUUUCCU
rnacentral:rRNA from 1 species